UCUGCUAGGAUGUCCCCAUCAUCCUGAAAGUCCCCCUUCCUCGCUGCCUUUCCACCCCUCCCCAUCCCAGCCAAGCUCACUUUCAUUCAUUCUCUCCACCACCCACCUACCACUGAGAGCCUGGCUCCCACUGCUCCUCAAAGUCUAUCCUACCUCUGUCCACAUCGUCCUCCUGUGACCUGGGUAAAUUGUGUUUUAAGGUUCGGUGGUUUACAUGUCCCAGGAGGCCUGGGUGCAGAACACCUCUGUGGUGGAGAACGUGUGCUUCGGGCAGCAGCUGGACCCAGCCCAGCUGGAGAAAGUCCUGGAGGCCUGUGCCCUGUGGCCAGAUGUGGACAGCUUCCCUGCAGGAGUCCACACUUCAAUUGGGGAGCAGAAUAGGCAUUCCUGGUUCUUGGGCCUUUGGACAUGGACCUGGACUUAUCCCAUUGGCUGCCCUGAAUCUCAGGCCUUUGGGUUUGGACUAAAACGAUAGCACUGGCUUACCUGGACCUCCAGUUUGUAGAAAGCAGAUACCCUUCUCAGACUCCAUAAUCAGAUGUGUUCCCAAGAGAUGAUUCAUCAACAUGAGACUACCAACAGAAGUUCAGAGCCAGGACCUAAUGUUCUGGAUAAACCCAC